AACGAACGCUGGCGGCAUGCCUAACACAUGCAAGUCGAACGAGACCUUCGAGUUUAGUGGCGCAAGGGUGCGUCACGCGUGGGAACCGGCCCUUAGGUUCCGAAAAACUCCCCGAAAGGGGUGCUAACACCGGAAAAAUUCUUCGGACCCCAGAUUUAUAGCCGUGGGAUGGGCCCGCGUUCGAUUAGCUAGUUGGUAGGGUAAAAGCCUAUCAAGGCGACGAUCCAGAGAUGGUCUGAGAGGAUGAUCAGCAACACUGGGACUGAGACCCGGCCCAGACUCCUGCGGGAGGCAGCAGUGAGGAAUAUUGAACGAUGGGCGAAAGCCUGAUCCAGCACGGCCGCGUGAGUGAUGAAGGCCGUAGGGAAAUAAAGCUCUUUUAGCCGCGACGAUAAUGACAGUACCGUAAGAAUAAGCCCCGGCUAACUCCGUG
rnacentral:rRNA from 1 species